GGCGGCCAAGAUGGCGGUGGUGGUCGACCACGCCUCCUCCGGGAGCGGAGGCGGGUGGCUGUGCUCGGAUGUGCCUGCUUUCCCUUUGUCUGCUGUGACUGUAAGUUUCCUGAGGCGUCCCCAGCCAUGCAUCCUGUACAGCCUGUGGAACUGCUGGAAAAUUCUUUGACGUGGAAGUGUAUCCUGGCCAUUACAUAGAGUAUGUUUAACAGCAUCCCUGGCUUCUACUCACCAAAUGCCUGUAGCCACCUUCUGUGCCCCUCAAGUUGAGGCAACCAAAAAUGCUCC